AUGGUGUUGCUUGACAUUAGGGGUAUGUUGCAGUCCAUGGGUAAAGACAUUAUUGAUUUUGCUCUUCCAACGAUCGAUGAUGCGUUUGACCCAACCAAGGGCAAGGCCAGAGAGAUCAUCGAGGAAUCAACCAUUGAGUUUGACGAAAGUGACACUAAAUUGUCAUCUUCCCUGAAUUUUGAGCAAAGGGCCGCAUACGAUGAGAUACUAGCUGCUGUUGAACGCGUUGAUGGGGGUGUAUUCUUUGUUGAUGGCCCUGGAGGUACGGGGAAGACCUUCCUCUACAGGGCGAUGCUCGGCAAGGUGAGGAGCGAGGGCAAGAUUGCUAUCACUACCGCGAUGUCGGGCAUCGCUGCUUCUAUCAUGCCUGGCGGCAGGACUGCCCACUCGAGGUUCAAAAUCCCAUUG
rnacentral:rRNA from 1 species